rnacentral:misc_RNA from 1 species
UACGGAGGGGGUUAGCGUUGUUCGGAAUUACUGGGCGUAAAGCGCACGUAGGCGGAUUCGAAAGUUGGGGGUGAAAUCCCUGGGCUCAACCCCGGAACGGCCUCCACAGCUAUCAGUCUAGAGGUCGAGAGAGGUGAGUGGAAUUCCGAGUGUAGAGGUGAAAUUCGUAGAUAUUCGGAGGAACACCAAUGGCGAAGGCGGCUCACUGGCUCGAGACUGACGCUGAGGUGCGAAAGCGUGGGGAGCACACAGG